UACGAAGGGGGCUAGCGUUGCUCGGAAUCACUGGGCGUAAAGGGUGCGUAGGCGGGUUUUUAAGUCAGGGGUGAAAUCCUGGAGCUCAACUCCAGAACUGCCUUUGAUACUGAAGAUCUUGAGUCCGGGAGAGGGGGGUGGAAUUCCCAGUGUAGCGGUGAAAUGCGUAGAUAUUGGGAGGAACACCGGUGGCGAAGGCGGCCCCCUGGACCGGUACUGACGCUG
rnacentral:rRNA from 1 species